UUGUUUUGGUUAAUGAUUUAUUGAGAGCAGUACAACCCCAAUUUAUUCCUCUGUUUCGUUUUACAAACAAAUCAACAGCUCCCCUGUUCUUUGUCUUCUUUUUCAAAACCCAGCACACACGACCCCUUUCCCUUUUUUCAUUUACUGAUGCUUUUAGUCUUUCCGUUAUUUUGCUUGUAAUCGGCGUUGAGUCACAGCCGAGUACAGUGUUCGAGUUGUUGUGUUUCACUAAAUCAGUUUCGAGUUGUAAUUGUGCUUCGAUUUAGUUGAUAGGUUGAGUUUGCACAGCUGAGUCAUCUCCUCUCUUUUGCUGAGUCGUUUGCUUGUAUUUGGCGAGUUAUCGAGUCCAGUUUAUUUUCGAGUCUACUGCCCUGCUGUUCUGAGUCUGCGUUGAUUUCCGAGUUUGAAUACAGUCUGGCUGGUUUUGUUUUGAAUUUCCGAGUCGCAUUACCGAGUCAACGAGUUGUUGUUCAUUUUGUCUUCUGUAGUUCUGUUGCUGUCAUUGCUUUCCUUUUCGAGUUCGAGUGUUGCUGAGUUUGCUGGUUUUUAUGUUGAAUCUGAGUCUCCAUUGAGUCCACCAACGAGUCAUCGCCGAGUCUGGGUUAUUUGUUUCGCUGUUCAGUUUUCCGAGUCUGCUGUUUUGCUUGGUCAAUAGGGGUGAUCGUUCGACUAAUUUAAAAAACCAUGGUUUGUGGGUUGGUUUCGGUUUUAUAUUAAACCAACCCGUUAUAAAACCGAACCGCAUAUUUAUAUAUAUACAAUCUAAAUAUUUAAUAUUAUAUAUUGACAAAAUAAUAAUUUUAUAUAAAUAUAUUAAUUUUUUAAUUUAUACUUGCUGGGUUGGUGUUUAGUUACUUACCUUAUCAAUACCAACUACAAGUCAUAUCAAUUCAGUAAUCCACGACUUCGAUUCAAGUUUAUGCAGUUUAUUAGACUAAAGUUUGUAUUUUAAUUUAACUAUGUGAAAUUGUGUAAAAUGAGACAAAAUGAUACUUUAUUUUCUAGUAUUAUUCAUGAAUCUUCGUCUCUGAUUAUAAGCCUUAGUUAUAAACCGAUCAAUCCGCUUAACCGAACCAUCAAAAACCGCACCGUUUGGUUCGGGUUAAUUGGUUUGCGGGUCACGUGUUGGUUUGAGAUUUUAAAAAACCACUAAUGUAUGGUUUGGUUCCGGUUUUACCUCCAAUCCGAACCAAACCGGACUGCGAUCACCCCUAUUUUUGUUUAGGGUUUGCAGUUUUGAGAGUCGACUCCAAGUUAUAACCUCCACUUCUCCGCUCUUCAUCUUUCAUCCCCCUAUUGAUUAAUCAUCUUCGUUUCUUCCAUCUUCUCUCAUAUUUAUUAAUUUAUUCAAUAAAACCAAGAUCUAAUCCUUUUGGGUGAAUUCUUGUUGAGUACCUUGUCAUCAAGGUCGUGCCCAUUUUUUUGGGAUGUUUGUGUCUGUUUUGAUUAGGGGUGAGCACAAAAAACCGAAACCGCAAAAAAAACCUAAAAAAACCGAAAAACCACACCGAAAAAAACCAAAUCGAAAAUAAAACCGAAAAUAACCGAAACUAAUGGUGCGGUUUUAUUUUCGGUUUUAUGCUAAAACCGCACCGAAAUUAACCGAACCGAAAAAAAAUAUAUAUAUAUUAUAUAUAUGUGUAUGUAUGUAUGUAUAAAUAUAUCAAUAAUAGUAAUAAAGUACGUUAAUCAUUUUUAAACUUCACAUCUUAUUAUAUAUGGAGGUUUGUUGGUUUCAUCCACACACCCUCACUUGCUAAGUCACUUAAAUUAACCGGGCACCCAAAUAUUUGGAGGAGCGCUUAAUCGAAGACCAGGGCUAUUGCGAUUUUCCAUAAAGCAUAAAUAUAUCCGUUGUUAAUCUGCUGAUCAAAUUUUAUUAUAAAAUCUAUUCUGCUUCUUUUAUUUAUGUACUUUUUGAAGACUUUAUAUUUGAAUUUCAUGAUUAGUUGAUUUUGAAGACUUUUUAUUGAUUUGACAUCAUCUAAUUUCUUAUCGAAAUACCCAUGUUUUAAUUUUUAUUGUGUAUUAAGUUUUUUUAGAUGAAAGUAUGUAAUGUUUCCUAUAUCAUCAUAUAGAAACAAUGGUAACCGAACAUACCGUACAUGUUCAUAGAAAUUUUUUAUUUUUUUAAAAAAUCAUUAUGCACAGAAGUAGCAAAUAAUAAUGAAAAAAUCGGAAAAAAAAAACCGCAACCCACUAAUGGUUAACCGCAACCGAAAAAUCAUUUUAACUGGUGUGGUUACGGUUAAUGAUAAUUAAACGAACCGAACCGCAUUCAACGGUUCGGUAACGGUUAAUGUCCGGAACCGCACCAAACCGCACCAUGCACACCCCUAGUUUUGAUGUUUCUAUGUGUUUUGUUAUGGGUCUCGGUAACGUUUCUAAGAGGGAGUUACAUGAUAUUUUGGGUAAUCCGUAAGGCUUGUAUCAGAUAUGGCACGGUGGUGAAUAUCGUAAGAGCUCACCUUUCACGACAUAAAAUUGUUCAUCUUUUGGGGUCAUUUGUUGAUCCAAUAUCAGUUGAUGUAACUGAUAAUUCUGAACAUUGGGCUACAGAUGCUGCUGCUUAUGU
rnacentral:lncRNA from 1 species